AAAAUUUCCAUCAGAGGUGGUUCACACUUAGUAUAUUUUGGUAGUGAAAAUUUAUUACCAGAAGCAUUUACUCUUUUGGAAAUCUUGAUAUUAGACAAACAUUCAUCUUGUCAAACCACCUCAUCCAGUGACUCAAACUAUUAAAUUAAAUAGAGUAUACGUUUACUUAUUUAAAUUUAGUCAUCAUACACAUCAUCUAUGUGGUGGUCAUAUGUUGAUUUGUUCCAAGCUUUCAUUGUUUAUGGUCCAAAUGUGAAGGUUGGAACAUUGAACUACCAUGUGAAAUCAAAUUUCUCGAAUAUUUCAGGGCUAGUAAAGCUUCACCAAGAUAUUAGGACAUGUGAGUACGAAGAUGUCCACAUCUUGUGGAAUAUGCUGAAGAGAAAUGAGACAGAUCUCACUAGAAGGAAAAAGGAGCCCUUUUGGAACAUCCUUCGAUGGGCAAAGCAUGCUUCAUUUCCUUGCCGUGGUAUGUGAACAUACCCAUAUGCAGUGAGUUUUUUAUGCUUUUGUUCUCUGAAUGUUGUAUGUUGAAGACUUAAAAAGUAAUCAGCAUAUUAUCUUGUAAGGGUAAUCACAUGUUUUUGAAGCAUAUCAUAUGCUGUUUAUAAUGUAAACCUGCAUAUAGAUUAAUUUUUCUCCCUUUUGUUAUUUAAUGUCAAAUGUAUUAUGGAGCUGGCGCUUAGUAUUUGCCUCUGUUACUGAAUCCUUGACACGUUGAAUAUAACCUCCUAUUUUGGGAGUAAAUAAGACGGUGUGGAUAACUUUUGAUACUUGUAAAUAGAUCGAAUGUUUUUUAUAGCAGGCUGCAGUGAUUUGUAAAUAGCAAGAGUAGGCUUACCGUUAUGCUAUCCCAACAAUGGGAACAAUUUGGAGUUUAGAUUGUUGUUCAAAACAGAGUUGAUACCACUAGGUGAACCUUUGACACUUGUUUGUGUGUGUGUGUGUGUCUCUCUCUCUCUCUCUCUCUCUCUCUCUCUUAUAUA
rnacentral:lncRNA from 1 species